UGACCAGACCUCCCAUUUCCACAUGAAAGGCUCGUUGGGAACACAGUGCAUUCAAGAGUCUUAAAAGAGUAUCAACAACAAUUGCCUUCUAUUCUUAGACUGGCAAGCUUGCUCAAUCAGCCCCCUUAUCACAGGCUAAAAAUGCGGCUCUCUUUACAUAAACAACACUUCCUUGUCAUUUCCUCCUCGUUGAAUGCACCUGACUUUAACCACAGCGACUCAAGCUCUGCAGUCAAUUAUUUAGUCCAUUAUCUCUUCAUUAUAGGUGUAACUUCAUCAAUGACCUGUUUGCUCCUGCUGUGGUGAGAUGCGAUGAUCGGACUACACUGCGCGUAUACUCCGUUGGAGAAACUAAAGAAACUUCAAUUAUACACAGGGGAGGAGUCAGACGCUCAUGUGCUCUGCUAUUGGAGGACUGCUGGGUGAUUGGCGAAUACAGCGAAUGUAUAGGAGCAGACCCACUCCUGGAGGUAUGAUGCUGCUCUCUGACUCUGAAUGGGUGUUCAGAUCCCUGGUGGUCUCAGACACAAUACAACUCCUGCCUGGUAGUUGCCUAUUUCCCCUUGAAAACCAAGAAACCAAGAAGAAAUUGGUUCACACUUUGGCUGGUCAUUAGGGCAGUGGAAUUUUACCGAUGCACAUUUCUGGCCCCUUCUGUCACAACCAUCGAGGAAAACAACGCAUAGAAAAUGUGGAAUGUUUAUCUAUUAAUCUUUAAUAAAUCCAUCACUUCC